rnacentral:rRNA from 1 species
AUACGGAGGGUGCAAGCGUUGUUCGGAAUUAUUGGGCGUAAAGAGCAUGUAGGCGGACUAUUAAGUCUGGUGUGAAAGCCCGGGGCUCAACCCCGGAAGUGCAUUGGAUACUGGUAGUCUUGAGUAUGGGAGAGGAAAGUGGAAUUCCGAGUGUAGGAGUGAAAUCCGUAGAUAUUCGGAGGAACACCAGUGGCGAAGGCGGCUUUCUGGACCAAUACUGACGCUGAGAUGCGAAAGCGUGGGGAGCGAACAGGAUUAGAAACCCUUGUAGUCC